UACGAAGGGGGCUAGCGUUGCUCGGAAUCACUGGGCGUAAAGGGUGCGUAGGCGGGUCUUUAAGUCAGGGGUGAAAUCCUGGAGCUCAACUCCAGAACUGCCUUUGAUACUGAGGAUCUUGAGUUCGGGAGAGGUGAGUGGAACUGCGAGUGUAGAGGUGAAAUUCGUAGAUAUUCGGAAGAACACCAGUGGCGAAGGCGACUCACUGGCCCGAUACUGACGCUGAGGCACGAAAGCGUGGGGAGCAAACAGG
rnacentral:rRNA from 1 species